GACGAACGCUGGCGGCGUGCUUAACACAUGCAAGUCGAACGGAAAGGCCCUGCUUUUGUGGGGUGCUCGAGUGGCGAACGGGUGAGUAACACGUGAGUAACCUGCCCUUGACUUUGGGAUAACUUCAGGAAACUGGGGCUAAUACCGGAUAGGAGCUCCUGCUGCAUGGUGGGGGUUGGAAAGUUUCGGCGGUUGGGGAUGGACUCGCGGCUUAUCAGCUUGUUGGUGGGGUAGUGGCUUACCAAGGCUUUGACGGGUAGCCGGCCUGAGAGGGUGACCGGCCACAUUGGGACUGAGAUACGGCCCAGACUCCUACGGGAGGCAGCAGUGGGGAAUAUUGCACAAUGGGCGGAAGCCUGAUGCAGCAACGCCGCGUGCGGGAUGACGGCCUUCGGGUUGUAAACCGCUUUCGCCUGUGACGAAGCGUGAGGGAGGGUAAUGGGUAAAGAAGCACCGGCUAAUUACGU
rnacentral:rRNA from 1 species